rnacentral:rRNA from 2 species
AACUAUACAUGCAAGUCGAACGAACUCUGGUAUUGAUUGGUGCUUGCAUCAUGAUUUACAUUUGAGUGAGUGGCGAACUGGUGAGUAACACGUGGGAAACCUGCCCAGAAGCGGGGGAUAACACCUGGAAACAGAUGCUAAUACCGCAUAACAACUUGGACCGCAUGGUCCGAGUUUGAAAGAUGGCUUCGGCUAUCACUUUUGGAUGGUCCCGCGGCGUAUUAGCUAGAUGGUGGGGUAACGGCUCACCAUGGCAAUGAUACGUAGCCGACCUGAGAGGGUAAUCGGCCACAUUGGGACUGAGACACGGCCCAAACUCCUACGGGAGGCAGCAGUAGGGAAUCUUCCACAAUGGACGAAAGUCUGAUGGAGCAACGCCGCGUGAGUGAAGAAGGGUUUCGGCUCACAAAACUCUGUUG